GACGAACGCUGGCGGCGUGCUUAACACAUGCAAGUCGAACGAUGAAGAAAAGAAUUGCAGCUUCGGCAGAAAUUCAUUUCGGAUUAGUGGCAGACGGGUGAGUAACGCGUGAGCAACCUACCUCUUACAAAGGGAUAGCCUCGGGAAACCGGGAUUAAUACCAUAUAACAUUGCGACGAAGCAUUUCGAUGCAAUCAAAGCUACGGCGGUAAGAGAUGGGCUCGCGUCCCAUUAACCAGAUGGUGAGGUAACGGCUCACCAUAGUAACGAUGGGUAACCGGACUGUGAGGGUGAACGGUCACACUGGAACUGAGACACGGUCCAGACUCCUACGGGAGGCAGCAGUGGGGAAUAUUGCACAAUGGAGGGAACUCUGAUGCAGCGACGCCGCGUGAGUGAUGAAGGAAUUCGUUUCGUAAAACUCUGUUCUAUGGGAAGAAAAGGACUGUACCAUAGGAGAAAGCUCCGGCUAAAUACGUG
rnacentral:rRNA from 1 species